rnacentral:rRNA from 1 species
AGCUCCAAUAGCGUAUAUUAAAGUUGUUGCAGUUCAAAAGCUCGUAGUUGGAUUUGUGGUGUACUUCGGCGGCCCUUCCCUAAGUGAAGGAGCUUGCUAAAGUCGCCAUCCUUGGGUGGAUCCUAUGUGGCAUUUAGUUGUCGUGUAGGGGAUGCCCAUCGUUUACUGUGAAAAAAUUAGAGUGUUCAAAGCAGGCUUAUGCCGUUGAAUAUGUUAGCAUGGAAUAAUAAGAUAGGACCUUGGUACUAUUUUGUUGGUUUGCGCACCAAGGUAAUGAUUAAUAGGGACAGUUGGGGGUAUUCGUAUUUCAGUGUCAGAGGUGAAAUUCUUGGAUUUUUGAAAGACGAACUACUGCGAAAGCAUUUACCAAGGAUGUUU